GACGAACGCUGGCGGCGUGCUUAACACAUGCAAGUCGAACGGAAAGGCCCGGCUUUUGUGGGGUGCUCGAGUGGCGCACGGGGGAGUAACACGCGUGUAACCUGCCCUUGCCUUUCGGAUAACUUCUGGAAACUGGGGCGAAUACCGCAUAGGAGCUCUUGCUGCACGGGGGGGGUUGGAAAGUUUCGGCGGUUGGGGAUGGACUCGCGGAUUAUCAGCUUGUUGGUGGGGUAGUGGCUGACCAAGGCUUUGACGGGUAGCGGGCCUGAGAGGGUGGCCGGCCACACUGGGCAUGCGAUUCGGGCAGGAGUCAUACGGGAGGCAGCAGUGGGGAAUGUUGCACAAUGGGAGGAAGCCUGAGGCAGCAACGCCGGCUGUGGGAUGACGGCCUUCGGGUGGUAAACCGCUUUCGCCUGUGACGAAGGGUGAGUGACGGUAAUGGUAAAAGAAGCACCGGCUAACUACGUG
rnacentral:rRNA from 1 species